AACAUUCUGAAUAUAACUAACUUCCUUCCUUCCUGCCUUCCUCCCUCCCUGCCUUCCCUUCCUUCCUGCCUUCCUUCUUCCUUCCUCCCUUUUUUCUUUUCUCCCUUCCUUCCUUCUUAAUAUGUUUUUGGCCUUUUCUUUAUAUAUGUGGCCUAGCAAUAUCCUGUGUUUGGAAAAGUAUAAACCUAAGGCAUCACCUUUACAGAAAAUAUCUUCCACGGAAACAUCUAAAGGCAAAAAUCCUUCAAAUUCAAAUUUAUCCAAUCAUUUCUUCUGCUUACUACCAUCCUAAAUCAUUUUUCUUUAGUAAGAUCUAUUAGUGUGAAGCUAUUAAGCUAUUAAUGUAUGUAUCAUAUUAAUGUAUUAAGACAUUAAGGCCACAGAUCAGCCCUGGGGUUCAGAGGGAUCCUGACAGCUACUCCUCAAGAUCCUCUCUGUUGUGAUUCAUCCCCCCGGGGCCCUACAGUUUCUCCUUCCUGACUCUUACAUUUCUUUGGAUGGCAUCAUUAUUUACCUGUCUCCUCCCAUAGUUAGGUGCCAAGCACUGUGGAUUCUGCCUCUCAGUGUCCAGACACCCAUUUUCCUUCCCACUGUUCCUUCCCCAUGGAGAAGCCUGUGGCUGGCUGACAGCAGAGAGAGAUGCUCAACUUGGAGAAGGUGUUACCUGGGCCAGGUGGGGAAGGUUUGUUUGCAGAGCAAAGAAGUGAAGCCUAUUCAACGUGAAAAAGAUGAGGAUGAAGACCUUUAUUAUGAUCCACUUCCAAGUAAUGAACACACUGGAGAAAGUCAGACAGUCAAAACAAUGUCCCAGACUCCGUGAAGUUCCUGGGUAGAGAAGGAGACAGACAUAUACCAUACCUAAUAAUUGGAUGUCCGAGAGAAUGAGAGAAUGGCAGAAAGAACUUUAGAGCAUGGGUAUGAUGGCUAGAGCUUGAGCAGCCAUUGUGGACAUCAGAUGAACUUGAAAGUGAAAACUAUGAGCUGAAUACGACAAAGCAAACAGAUAGAAAACUGGAUUCAUUAUGACAUUGCAAAGCUGCCAGACCAGCUCUAGUCUGCUUCCCCCUAAUCUUCCUUACUAAGAGAGAGAAAUAAACUUCCAUCUUCUUCAAGCCACUGCUGGUGCAUCUGACUACUUACUAGAUGGUUGCAUUUUGAUUUCCCAGAGACAUCUUAAGGUCAACAUGUUCAAAACCAAACAUCUUCCUUUCUUAAGGCUGCAUCCCACCCGGUUGUUGAAGUCAGAAACCUGGAUUCUACAUUCUCCCUUAACCCCAUAUCCAAUUAAAGCAGGCAGAAUAAUGGCUCCCUCAAAGAUGUCCACAUUCUAAUCCUCAGAACCUAUUAAUAUGCUACUUCAUAUGGCAAAGGGACUUUAUUUAUGUAAUUAAGGUAAAGGUCCUAGAGACGGGGAGGUUGUCUUGGAUUACCUGGAUGGACCCAACUUAAUCACAUGAGUCUUUUAAAGUGGAAGAGGGAGGCAGAAAGAAAAAAGAAGAGGCAGGAGAGAUUCAACGUAUGAAAGGGACUUAACCCGUCAUUGCUGCCUUUGAAAAUGGAGGAAGUGGCCAUGAGCCAAGGAAUGCAGGCAGCAUCUGGAAGAUGGAAACGGGCCUCAGCCGAUAUCUAGCAAAGAAAUGAGAUCCUCAAUUCUACAGAUGCAAGGAAAUGAAUUCUGCUAAUAACCUGAAUGACCCAGAAAAUAAAUUUCCCCUCAGCCUUAAGAAAGGAGUACAGCCCUACUGACACCUUGAUUUUAGCCCACUGAGACCCAUGGCAGACUCUAACUUAAAG
rnacentral:lncRNA from 1 species